AAAAUUGGAAAAACACUUUGGAUCUGUUAGGGGAGACAGUGUUGCUUUGUUGGGGAGAAAAGAAGGUUUAAGAAAUGUAUGUUUUUACUCUUCACUUGCAUAUCUUAGGGUGGGGUUUUGUGGUUGGUUGUGUCUGUUUUUUGUUUGUUAGGUUUUUAAAUAUAUAUUGCUUGAAUUUCAAAUGUGUCUUCUUGAAACUGAGACCAAAAGAGUCUUUUAUGGUAUUUUCCUUCCCUCUUUUCCUCCCAUCUCAGUCCCCCUACAACAGAAAACAUUAGAAGAAGUCCAGUUGGCAAAGCGUAAUGAAAUAAAUGAACUAUUGUAUUUGUUGGCCUUUUAUGAAUAAGCUAGUAUUCAUUUAUUGCUGCAUUCUAAUAAUGGAAUUCAGGUAACGGAGGUUAAGUAAGCCCGGGAGUAUAAUUGGAAAACUAAUUUUUUACUUGCAGACAGGGUACUGUGAAUUUGAUUCUUGGCUCUUUUUUGGGAAGGAGGUAUAAAUGUUAAUUUUACUGCCUUCUAGCUUAAAAUACAGUAAAGGUUAAAUAAAUACGGAGCAGAAAAAAAUCUAGUAGUGUGACCUAUAAAAGUAUAAAUGGCCUAGUGUUCUCUUCUGUUUGCACUUUUUCAGCAGCACUAAGUAAUUUCAUGUCAGUGGAGUAGCGUUUAGUACUGCAUCAUAUAUGGCUUCUGUAUUCAAAAGUACAUUCAUACCCAAAUGUUUGGAAUCCAAAAACGUCACAACCCAAAAACAAAUCCCCCCACCCAAUCAAAAAAAACCCCAACAAAACCAAACAACAAAACAACAAACACCCAACAAAAAAAUCCCACUUAACAGCAAAAUUCAAGAUUGUCUUUUUUCCAGAGUCCCACUAGGUGCCAGCAAAGGACUUUAUCAGACGACAGGAGCCAGUGAAACAUUUUGUAGGAAUUCUCAAUGCCAUUACUCUUGUGAGAGUUGACAGUAUAUUGACUUCUUGACAUACUGAUCAUUUUUUUUUUUUUUUUAAUAAAAAUUAAAACGGAACAAAAAUUAUCCAUGAAUGUAUGAGUUUGUAUAUAGUGGUGCAGAAUUGCUUCUGUAAUUGUGCUUGGUAAUCAUAUUUUUCUCUGCGCAUACUUAGCUUAGUGUGCUAAAAUAUGCAUAGCUGCUCAUGUAUUUACAUGCCAUAUUGAACUCUAAUGAAUGUCCACUUAUUGUGGGCUUCCAGCACACAAGAGGUAGUUCAGUUUGUAAGAAUAGUUUGUUUCUUUCUACCUUUAAUAGCUGUACUGUAGAAAGGUUAAUGUAUAAAACGAAAGGUUAAAAUGGGAGGCUGAAAAGAAAUGCUGAAUUAGUAAUCAGAAUAACUUUUUGUGGUUCCAAUUCAGUUAUUCUUCACUGAAAAUGAUGAAUUAAUUGGCAGGAGAGGUUUUACUAUGUGCAGAUCUUUAGAAAGUAUGAUUGCCUCACAGCAUGUAGAUUGUGAAAUAGUGCCAAAUUUCCUUAAAGUGUUAUUUAAAUAGUGCAGGAAGCCUUCUUUUUCUUUUCUUUUUCCUUUUUUUAAGGGGAGGAGGCUUAUUUCCCUGGUUUAUGCAUAAUUCAGACCUCAGCAGUUUGCUAGCAUGGUUACUAUUUGGAAAUUCAAUCCUAGACUUGAUACUCAAUUAUAUGGGACUUCAUUCCUACCAACUUCCUGUAAUUCUAAACCUAUGGGUAAAAAUAUUAGUAGUCAUACGCUGCUGAGGAAAGUACGGACACAUUGACUCAGCUCAUGCAGCUGCAGCAGGAGUUGCUGUUUUAAACUUGGAAGUACUGGAAGUUUAUUAUUGUAUUCAUUUAUGCAAAUUGCAGAAGGUAUAAUUGAAACAAGGUCAGUAGUGUUUGUCAGUUGUUGCAGCUGAGGUCACUGGAACAUGAGUGCUUUGUAAAUGAAUGCUUUCUGACUGCAAGCCAUCAAAGACGGUCCAGAAACUGCAGUUCAACGAGUCGCUGACUUAUUUCAAGAGGUACAGUUGGUUUGUUUUUUUUUUUUUUUUUUAACACUAGUAUUUUGUAGAAAGUAGGGCAAAGACUGCAACUUCUAUGGACUUUUACUGCUGUGAUGUACUAGCUCUAGGUUCUGUGCAGCUGCCUGUAGCAUUUCUGCUGAAGGAUCUUUGUGGUUUUCAUUUGCUAACAUGCAUGGAAAUGAGAACAAAUGGCACGACGGUUAAGACUGCAUUUUGCUACCCAAAGAAGCAACACAGAUCCAUUAUCAGAAACCUCUGAAGAUGUGUCGGAUAGUAACAGUUGUAUGUACUUCAAAAAGCUGCAGAAUUCUGCACCUAAUGUUACACAAAUGAAACUGACUCCUAGACAGGUUGCUUAUGCACCUGUAAUGCAACAAGUAAUUAAUGAAGAGGGAAGUGGAACUGUUUCUUCAUUGCAAAUAAAAAAGAGCACUUCACUGCACAUUUCCCUGCAGUCUAGAAAGUAUAGUGGAUGUCUUCGGUCUGGUGAUGCUGAACCUACUGCUGAAGACACUUCAUUCAUUGGUAUUGGUAAUGAAGGAAACUGUGGAGCUAGAAUUGUGGUUGAUCAUCGACCUAAUGAUAGCCUUCUGAGCAAUACCGUUCUGUGCAAUGGCAGCCUUAGCAGUAUUGCAGCCAGUGACAGUGGAUCGUUCAGCAGUGCUGGCAGUGACUACGGAUCAUGUGCAAGUACCACAAGCGAUGGAGGUUCAUAUAGUAACAGUGUCAUCAGUGACAGUGGUAGUGGCACUCUUUCAACAGGUGAUGGUACUUUCUGUAGUAGUAUUCAUGGUGAUUCUUCAUAUAGAAGCACUGCAAACAAAUGUAAUCCCUACAGGGGCAGCUCAUCUCGGGAAAGUCUGUCUAGAACUAAAACUACUUUUGACCAAGAUGCUUUGUCAGUAAGGAAGAAAACUAAAAUUCCAUUGCGACGUUGUUCAUCACUGGUUAUUUUUCCUAGGAGUCCCUCCAGUACUCCUCCAGCUUCGCCAGUAAGCUCAGGUCAACUACCACAUAGAGGCUCCUAUCAAACAUCUCAUAAACUAAUUAUUUCUCCUAGUGAGCUGGCACAAAAAGAAGAUCAAACCAUUUCCAAAGGAUUCCUUUCGACAGCAGUCAAUGGACUUCGACUGUCUAAAACGGUUUGCUCUUCUGAUGAAGUCAGAGACAUUCGACCGCUUUACUUGAAUCCAUCGCUACAGGACAAAAGUCAAAUCUUGAAUAGUUCCAAGCAGGCAACUAGUGAAGAAGUAUCUGAUGGCUUCUCAUGUGUUUCAGUUCAUCUCUCUCAAAGAGCAUUUGCAUCGAGCAGUGAAAUGGUUAAUGACUGUUGCAGUCCAGAGUUAAAUCUGAACUCCAGUGCAAAAUACCCUCACUUAAAACUGGCACGUAGCACAUCUGCAUGUUUACCCUCAAAAAUUGAUCCAGAAUAUCAGGUUAAUAUAAAUGAACCAGAAAGACCAAAUGCACAGAUGAGCAAAACCCACCAUGUUUUGCAAAGAAGUGUUUCGCUGGAAGGAUCACGUCAAAAAGUUUCUUGCUGUUUAUCCAGCAAGUGUCAUAGUGGAAGGACGUCUCAGUUGCACAUACAGUUCAAACCUGGGAAUGAAGGAGAACCAACUGUUGUUAAGAAAAGAUAUGGAACCUCUAAAAGGGAAAUGUCUAGUGCUUCUUUGUGGAGGCCCCAUAAGACUCGAGAUGAUUUUCUUGGGCAAGUGGAUAUUCCUCUUUAUCAGUUACCGACAGAAAAUCCAAGUAUGGAGAGACCAUAUACGUUUAAGGAUUUUGUUCUUCAUCCAAGAAGCCAUAAAUCAAGAGUUAAAGGCCACCUUCGAUUAAAAAUGACAUACUUACCUAAAAGCAAUGGGUCUGAAGAAGAAACCACAGAACAGGCGGAAGAAUUAGAGCCUGGGUGGAUUAUAUUGGACCAACCAGAUGCUGCUAGCCAGCCACAACAGCAGCAACAGGAAUCUCCUCCACUGCCUUCAGGCUGGGAAGAAAGGCAAGACAUCCUCGGCAGGACCUACUAUGUCAAUCACGAAUUCAGAAGAACACAGUGGAAAAGACCAACUGCUCAGGACAAUGUAGCUGUUGCAGACAUUGGUAGUGUGCAGUUGGAGGCCCAGCAUGUGUUCACUCAUAGGCGACAGAUAUCAGAGGAUACAGAAAAUCUCGACAACAGAGAUUCCCCUGAGAGCUGGGAAAUUAUAACUGAAGAUGAGGCAACAAUGUAUAGCAAUCAGAACCUUCAAAUACCUCUCUCUCAGAGUAAUUCUGAUAUACAGACUCAUCUUGCAGAAGAAUUGAAUACCAGACUUACUACCUCUGGAAGUUCAGCUACUGGCCAGUCAGCCACCUACACUAACCAUUCCAGCAGAAGAGGAAGUCUGCAAACAUACAGAGUUGAAGAGCAGCCUGCACAUCCAGUGUUACUGCCUACUUCAUCUGGAUUACCCCCAGGCUGGGAAGAACGACAAGAUGAAAAAGGGAGGUCAUAUUAUAUAGACCACAAUUCUAGAACCACCACCUGGGUAAAACCAGUUGUACAGACUGCUACGGAAACAGGUCAGUCGUCAGCUACACAAAGCAUUUCUAUGGGAAGACAAUCACAAGCAACAUCAAGUGAUUCAUCACAACAGUCUUCUCAGCAGCAGCCUGAAACGGAGCAAGGAUUUCUCCCUAAAGGCUGGGAAGUUCGACAUGCACCUAAUGGGAGACCAUUCUUUAUUGACCACAAUACCAAAACUACAACAUGGGAAGAUCCAAGACUGAAAAUUUCUGCUCAUCCAAGGAGAAAGACUUCCCUAGAUCCAGUAGAUCUGGGCCCAUUACCACCAGGGUGGGAAGAAAGAACUCACACAGAUGGAAGAAUAUUCUUCAUAAACCACAAAAUGUCUUGCAGAUACAAAGAAAACACAGUGGGAGGAUCCUCGACUGCAGAAUGUGGCAAUAACUGGACCAGCUGUGCCUUACUCCAGGGACUAUAAGCGGAAGUAUGAGUUCUUCAGAAAGAAAUUGAAGAAACAGGGUGAUAUUCCAAAUAGAUUUGAAAUGAAAAUUCAUCGCACAACAAUCCUUGAAGAUUCUUAUAGAAGGAUUAUAGCUGUAAAGAGAGCAGAUUUCCUUAAAGCAAGACUUUGGAUUGAAUUUGAUGGUGAAAAAGGUUUAGACUAUGGAGGAGUGGCCAGGGAAUGGUUCUUCCUUCUCUCUAAAGAAAUGUUUAAUCCUUAUUAUGGAUUGUUUGAAUAUUCAGCAACAGAUAACUAUACUCUGCAGAUCAAUCCAAACUCUGGACUUUGCAAUGAAGAUCAUCUCUCUUAUUUCAAGUUUAUAGGUCGUGUAGCUGGAAUGGCUGUUUACCAUGGCAAACUUUUGGAUGCCUUUUUUAUUCGUCCUUUUUACAAGAUGAUGCUCCAAAAGCCAAUAACACUUCAUGAUAUGGAGUCUGUGGAUAGUGAAUAUUACAAUUCUCUGCGAUGGAUUCUUGAAAACGAUCCAACAGAACUGGACCUCAGAUUUGUAGUUGAUGAGGAACUUUUUGGUCAGACUCAUCAACAUGAAUUGAAAAGUGGUGGAUCAGAAAUAGUUGUCACCAACAAGAACAAGAGAGACUACAUUCAUCUGGUAAUUCAGUGGAGAUUUGUGAGCAGAGUACAGAAACAAAUGUCAGCCUUUAAAGAGGGCUUUUUUGAACUAAUACCGCAGGAUCUGAUUAAAAUCUUUGAUGAAAAUGAGCUAGAGUUAUUAAUGUGUGGACUGGGAGAUGUGGACGUGGCUGAUUGGAAACUACAUACAAAAUACAAAAAUGGCUACAACGUAAACCAUCAAGUAAUACAAUGGUUCUGGAAGGCAGUCUUAAUGAUGGACUCUGAAAAGAGAAUAAGAUUACUUCAAUUUGUUACUGGCACAUCACGUGUACCUAUGAAUGGGUUUGCUGAGCUGUAUGGUUCAAAUGGACCACAGUUGUUUACAGUCGAACAGUGGGGCACCCCUGAAAAACUGCCAAGAGCUCAUACCUGCUUUAACCGCUUGGAUUUGCCUCCAUAUGACUCGUUUGAAGAUUUACGGGAUAAACUUCUUCUGGCGAUUGAAAAUACUCAGGGUUUUGAUGGGGUUGAUUAAGACACAGACAUAAUUUGUAUUGGUCCAGUGCUGCAAUUUAAUUUUAAGGGUUUACAGACAAAUUUGAUUUUUCCAGGGACUACCAUUGUAUUUAGUCACAUGGCUAUUGAAUCUUCAUAGUAUUACUUAUAAAGUAAGUAUUCAAAAUUCACUAACUUCUGAAAAUGUAUUUUGCCAUUUCCACAGUUUUGUGUACUUUGCUAAUAACUACAAUAUACACAUUGGAUGGGCCAGUGCCAAGUAUUUCAAAACCUAAAAUAUUUUUAAGCAGUUGCCUCUUCUACAGUAUUUGACAGACUGUCCUGCAGUAAACUACUGAAGUAAAACUGUGAAGAAAUCUUUGCAGAGAGUGUAAAUUUGAAUUGCUGCUUUAAGAGGAACAACUGAAAUUGUUAAACUGUUUUAAGAACCAAACCAACCAAAAACCAAAACCAACCAACUUCAUGUAAUGCAAUAUCAUAAUCUGUGCUGCUUCAAGCUGUUUGCUACACAUCUGUCCAAAGCAUAUUAGUAAAAGGAAAGCAUUCGUUUGCAUUAUCAGCCAUCGGUUUGCAGAGCAUUGACUUGCUGACACAUUGUGUUUGUUAGAGUUCUGUUUCUAACUUGCUUUUGUUAAAACAGUGUAACAAAACCAGGAUUUUUAUAUGAAACAGACAAGCAGCAUAAUUGUGUUGUAAUGAGAGAUUAUAUACUUUGUUUGAAUUUGUAUACUGUCAUUGGUUUAUUGAGCGUUCAUCACUUUUGAUAAAUUUGUAGUUCAAUGAUGGAUAAUAUUUUCAAUUCAGCCUUUUGCAACAAAUUAAUCUUAAAGUGAAAUUUGUAUGGAUAUCACUCAGUAUUAGUUACUGACAGAUAGAGGCCUUUAUUAUCCAUUCUUGCAGUAUUGCACUACAUAACAAUAAAGAACAUGUUUACAGGGGUUUCUGGGCCAAAUUCAGCAGUCUGAUAUGUGCACGCUUCUCUGAGCUGCAGGGGGGUUAUGCACAUGUGGUCAGGUGCAGAAUUUGGUUCUGUAAUAUGUUUACAGGUUGUGCUAGUUUCUACAGCUGCAUUUUUAUAUUUUCUUUCCUCCAGUGUUAGUCUAGAAACCAAAUUUGGUAAUACAGUAUAACCAAAGUCAUAACCAACAAUGUGCAAUUUAUUGUAGAUCAACUUGUCAUAUAAAUAUUAGGUUGAUUUCUUUUGUAAAUGUGGAUUUUUUUGUAUUAAUAUUAACACUUUUUUUGAGCAAGUGCUGGUUAAAGUGAUUAGGAAAGUUGGUUCUAAAAGAAAAAAUAGAUUUAUAUACCUGGCUUGCUCUAAUUUUAACAUUUUAUUACCAAUAUGAUCUGCGGAAAUGACAGUACCUAGCUUUGGCCAGGAAAUUUCUGUUUAGUCUUUAUAAAUAUGCAAGAAGAAAGUGUAGCACAUCUCUCUAUAAAGAUAUGUAAAUUAUGUAACAAAUGUAAUGGGUCUUAAGGGAUAUUUAAAAUCCCACUUUGUUUUAUCCUUUGUCUAGGUCAUUAGGGCUGAGAAUAUGACAUGUAAAUAAAGGUAACUUAUACAGAUUUCCCAAAUCUAUAUCCGGUUUUGUAAAACAUGAAUGAUAUAUCAGUAAAUCUGUAUAGAUUUGAAUGUAGCAGGGUUUGUUGCAUAAAGUAUAAAAUAAGGAUCCCGAAAGCGGUAAAUAAAAGUUUAUUCUAAUAA